rnacentral:rRNA from 1 species
UACGUAGGCAGCGAGCGUUGUUCGGAGUUACUGGGCGUAAAGGGUGUGUAGGCGGCCUUCUAAGUUUGGUGUGAAAUCUCCCGGCUCAACCGGGAGGGUGCGCCGAAAACUGGAAGGCUAGAGUGCGGGAUGGGAGAGUGGAAUUCCUGGUGUAGCGGUGAAAUGCGUAGAUAUCGAGAGGAACACCUGCGGCGAAGGCGGGUUGCUGGGCUGACACUGACGCUGACAGCGCGAAAGCUAGGGGAGCGAACGGG